rnacentral:lncRNA from 1 species
CUGAAAUCCAUGGGACAAAAUUGCACCUGGAAUAGCCCUAGAAGGUACUGAGACAGGAUGUCCCUUUCUCUGAUUAGAUUUUGGCCCGAAAUAAGGAAGUGAUGUCAUCUGGGGAAAAGCAACCUUACCAGCUGCUGCAUGGUAUUUGUCCAAGAAGAUUAAAGGAGCAAGUGAUUUGGACUCCACAGACCUUAGAAACAGAUGGAAAGGUCUGGAACCCUGACACAAGAUGGAGACAUUGGCACUGGAUAAGCUGCCAUGGAAAGCUGCUGAUGGAGAGCACAUCCACUCUCAGUAAGCUCCUGUCUUACCCUCUCUUUCUCUUAGCACUCAC